rnacentral:rRNA from 1 species
GACGAACGCUGGCGGCGUGCUUAACACAUGCAAGUCGAACGGAAAGGCCCUGCUUGCGUGGGGUGCUAGAGUGGCGAACGGGUGAGUAACACGUGAGUAACCUGCCCUUGACUUUGGGAUAACUUCAGGAAACUGGGGCUAAUACCGGAUAGGAGCUCGUGCUGCAUGGUGGGGGUUGGAAAGUUUGGGCGGUUAGGGAUGGACUCGCGGCUUAUCAGCUUGUUGGUUGGGUAGUGGCUUACCAAGGCUUUGACGGGUAGCCGGCCUGAGAGGGUGACCGGCCACAUUGGGACUGAGAUACGGCCCAGACUCCUACGGGAGGCAGCAGUGGGGAAUAUUGCACAAUGGGCGGAAGCCUGAUGCAGCAACGCCGCGUGCGGGAUGACGGCCUUCGGGUUGUAAACCGCUUUCGCCUGUGACGAAGCGUGAGUGACGGUAAUGAGUAAAGAAGCACCGGCUAACUACGUG